rnacentral:rRNA from 1 species
UACGGGAGGCAGCAGUGGGGAAUAUUGCACAAUGGGCGAAAGCCUGAUGCAGCUAUGCCGCGUGUAUGAAGAAGGCCUUAGGGUUGUAAAGUACUUUCAUCGGGGAGGAAAAACAAAACUAAUAAUUUUAUUUCUUGACGUUACCCGAAAAAGAAGCACCGGCUAACUCCGUGCCAGCAGCCGCGGUAAUACGGAGAGGGCUAGCGUUAUUCGGAAUUAUUGGGCGUAAAGAGCGCGUAGGCUGAUUUAGUAAGUUAAAAGUGAAAUCCCAAAGCUUAACUUUGGAAUUGCUUUUUAAAACUGCUAAGUCUAGAGAUUGAAAGAGGAUAGAGGAAUUCCUAGUGUAGAGGUGAAAUUCGUAAAUAUUAGGAGGAACACCAGUGGCGAAGGCGUCUAUCUGGUUCAAAUCUGACGCUGAGGGCGCGAAGGCGUGGGGAGCGAAACAGGGAUUAGAUACC